rnacentral:rRNA from 1 species
UACGGAGGGUGCAAGCGUUAUCCGGAUUCACUGGGUUUAAAGGGUGCGUAGGUGGGCAAGUAAGUCAGUGGUGAAAUCUCCGGGCUUAACCCGGAAACUGCCAUUGAUACUAUUUGUCUUGAAUACUGUGGAGGUCAGCGGAAUAUGUCAUGUAGCGGUGAAAUGCUUAGAUAUGACAUAGAACACCAAUUGCGAAGGCAGCUCACUACACGAAUAUUGACACUGAGGCACGAAAGCGUGGGGAUCAAACAGG